GUCUGUGUUUUUUUUUUUUUUUUAAACAGUUAAAGGAGGGGGGUCCCAGGGUGCCAGAAAGUUAUAUUAUGGUAUAUGUGUUUAUGAACUUACAGUAUGAUAAAAAAAAAUUACUUAAGUAAACUAUCUUUCAGUAAGGGAUGUGAUCAUAUGCUCCAUGGUUACUGAACAAGACAUUUAUAUACGACCUCUCUGUCUAAAGCUUCUGCAACGCAACACUGCAUUGCAGCACCACUGUGUAUGUUGAAAGGUUGCCCAUAUUGGACAGUGACAUCUCCUUCCUGAUCCCACUGUAUGCUGAACCCAUGCCAGGAAAGUGGCCUGAGAAGCAUGCCUCCCUGUUUAACAGCUCCAUUACAGGCACAAAGCCGAGAGCAUGUGCAGUUCUCUGUCUUUAUCACACUUAUUUCACACAUCACUGGAUCCCAAGGCCAACAGGAUUCACACUGCGUUUCCCUCCACCCCUUAAUAAAGUAAGUUUAGAGGAGAAGAAGGAGGUGAAGAAGCAUGCUGUAACAUUUCACAUAAGCAUCUCAUUCACCUUAACAGGCCAACAUAAUAAUAUAGAAGAUAAUUCUCUUAGCAUGACAGGACUGGAAGUCAAAGAUAAGACUGAAAGAUUAUUAAAUUACACGGCAGAUUCUUUAAUCUGAUGUAUGCCUUGAAUCCCAAAGGAUUAGCCUUAACAUAAAUGAUUUGAGUAAUGUGCCUUGUGUUGUAACUUGCCACACUUGCCACAUGAUUGUUAUUGGUCAAACAGCAACAAUCAAGUGGUCUCAGUUUCCCCUCAGAGAUCAGUAAAGUCUAUCUAUAAAAAUCAACCUGAUGGCUUCAACAUAAUUGGAUCUUGUGAUUGCUUUGGCUUUGUUUUGUUUGACCUUGAUGCCUCCUGGUCAUGUUUUCUCUUCUUGUAGUCAGAUCCAGUUCCAGAGAGACUCUCUCUCUCGUGUCUGAGCAUCUUUAUUUGUGUUGAGUCUAAAGCUGAGCAGCACUCGAGUUUUCACUUUGAGUAGCUGCUCAGGGGAGAGUGAAACCUAGCCUCGUCUGCAUGGUGGAAGACAUCCUGAGAGCUGAAAAGUGCUGUGUUGCCAGGUUUUUGUUAAUAGUUGUGCUGACGGUGGGAAAAAUCACCAUCGGAGGCCACCACAUAUAAGCACAGACAAUAAAUUUGGAAAGCAGAAUAAGAAUAGACUUGUCUGAUCACUAAUGGCCCACAUAGAGUCAGAGGCAGCAUCAGAAAUGCAACUGUAGCAAAACAUCGUGUUUCAAUAGACUAAAAAAAACGAUUAACAAGUGCCACAGCUUCUCCACAGAUACCGAACAAAGCAAUUAUUUUCUCUUAGACAAGCUUUUCAUCAGCCAAGAAAACAUUGGAGAAACAAGAGAGAUGAAAAGAGCAAGGAUGAUGUCAUCUGGAAGACUGCCUACCCCCUAAUCUCUUUUUCUCUCUCUCUUUCUCUCUAUAUACAUUCCAACCAUGUUGUUAUUCAAGCACAAUCCACUCUUCACUCAUUAGCAUCUUCUUCACGAAUGAGGUCUAACAUUUCUACUAACACUGACUGUCACACAGCCUGGCACUAACAAGAUGAAAAGAAAUAAUGUGUGACACUGUGCUGGAUCAUACCCCGUACAUCACAGCAGAGCAGUCUAGCGAAACCCUGCCACGGGGAUAUUUUUACCUUCCCAAAAUGUGAUCACUCACUGUAAUGGUAGUCUCUGAUGACCCAUUAAUUUGAUGUGGGAUUUAGAUGAAACACCAUGACGGUGCAGAUUUGAAGCUAGAAAAGCACUGUGGAUGAUUCAUUGUCUGACACAGGGACAGAAGUGACAAAGUAAACCACCUUUAAUAUGAGCUCAGAAGAAAUUCUUUACUCCAUGACACCCUGGAGUGAACUCCAGCAUAAUUUGAUGCAAUUUCGGGCCUCAUUCAUGAAAUUUGAUGCUAAACUUCAUGGAUUUGAUGACAUUAAAAUCUUGACGAUUGAACUGAGAGAAAAAUAUUCUCAUACUGUAUGUACGCGAACUAAAAAUUAUGUGUACGUAAUUUUAGUGUCCAAGAGCAGCUAACUUUUUCCCCAAUGACUUUUAGUUAAACCAGUGUGACAUACGUGAGUGACUAAUUGAAUGAUUUAAUUAAUAAAUUAAACCAAUACUGAUUAUUAAACCUCCACGGAAAUAAUAAUUGUUAUAGUACAUUAUUGUUUUGUGUAGUAACAGCUCAUUCACAGGGAUAUGUAUGGUGGACAAUGUACUUAAUCUAAGGCUAGUAAUAAACAAAUUUUAAAACGUUAUUUAACAAUGAAAAAUGGAUAAUUGUUGGCAUGGUGAUGCUUUCUGUACGGAGACGCUUAAUUAACAUUUAUAGAAGGUGUCUCUACUGUCAAAGCUUUGUAAAUGUCAGUAAGUCUUCCAACCUUGCGAAGGUCUUUAGGACUUUGUGCUCUCCAGUUUCUCAGUGAUAUGACAAGCUGCAUUGUUUGUCUUAUUAACUUCAAGAAAGAGAAAAAUGCGGGGUUGGUGAGGGAACUGUUUAUAGCUCCUAUAACGCAGAUGAUAACAGGAACUAACUUGUCUCCUGGACAUUAAAAAGCACCAUGUGUAAUUCAUUAUUAAAUUAAAAUCUUAAUUGUUAGAAGAAUAAAACAUAUCAGGAUGUGCUGUUAUUGGAAAAUAAUCAACUUUGUGGUGGUAAUGGUAUCACUCCACCCUGUCAUUGAUUAUUUUACUAUAACAGCACUCCCCUUAAUUUUAUUUCUUACUUAACCUUUUUUACCCGCAGUAAUUCACUCUUUUUACCCGCAGUGAUUUAAUCUUUUACUCACAUUUAGGAUUCAGCACACACAUACAGUACAUACUGUAGGUCCCCUGCAUGUUUAAACCAACUUCGUCUGUAUGUCAGCUGACAUUUACCUGGGUUGUAGUCAUUUUACUUAUGAAAUGUAAACUGAAAUUUUAAAACAGAAUCUUAACAGGAAAAGAACACCAGCAUCACCAGUAACACCAGAAUCACAGAGCAGUUAUAAUGUCGGCCGUAUCAAUGACUGCUAUUCAGACAAAUCUUUCUGACCACGCUGAUCAGGCUAGAUCAAUCUUGCUAGAGGUCAAUCAUAAAUGAAUGCUAAGGCAAUUAUAUUGCAUAGGAGUCAGAGAAGCUUUACUCAUUUCACGAAGGUCAACAUGAUAGGGCUCCAGUUCUACCAGUGGUUAAAUAUAUGCUGUGAAUCAUGCAAGCUUUCCUAAUUUCUUCUAAACGCCAUGAAUGCCACUGAUGAUUACCCCUUGGUCACCAAAUUUGUCCCCCAGUAGUCCCAAACCUUUGAGCUCUAACCAUCUGCUUAACCCUCUGUUGUAUAGAUCUCUGUCACACCUAGCAAUCCAAAUAUGACCAAUCCUAUACACUGUCUAGAUACAGUACAGUGUUACAUUCCUGAAGCACAGGAACAAGAAGAUAAUUAUAGCUCACUGUACUUCAUUGCACCCAGCUGUUUGCCUGGCCUGGUAAUAAGAACUGGCUCAAACUCAAGUUUGGCUCUGAAUUGUAAGUUUGACAAAGGGCAGACAGGUGUGUCAGAGUGUCCACUCUCUGGAGCCUAAUUAUGGAGCAGAUGGGUGUCCCUGACUGCAGCUUCUGUCUCACGAAACCUGCAGGGAAGAGACAGGCAGAACAGACUCACGCACACACACAGGCGAGUAGAACACAAUGGCCUCCUAAAAGUGCUGCAAUGACCUUCAACUUAUCACCACACACUCAGCUAUAGCAUCUAUGUGUGUGUAUCUGACGACAGUAUACGAAAAACAGAGAUCCUGUCCACGUGAAUACAUAAUGUACACUCCUGGGCAAAAAGAAAAAAGGUCCCAAAAUGGCAGAAAUAUUAAGCUUUUAAUGGUCUUAACAGCAAAUCAUUGGCCAGGAAGUUAGCAAGAAUUAAACAAAUACUGAAGAUCUCUCCCUGCUCUAUCAAUCCCAGUUCCAUUUAUGAGCUUGUUGGGCUGCAUCAGGUGUGGCAGAUAACCAAAUAAAGACUAAUCUUUUCAGAAAAAAAAACACCCUAGAAGAUAUAUUUUUUAAAUUUUGUACAUAGACAUGUGUUUGUAUGAAUUUCAUACAAUGAAUUGUAUGAAUUUUACAUCAAAUAUUUUAAUCAUUUUAUCAUGAUUUUUACUCUGUGAUUUUACCAAGAAGACUAUAUAAGUGAAUUUCCCUGUUUUUAGCUUUUCCCAGUUCACUGCAGCAAAAGUAAAUGAGCAAAUAGUGGCGCAGGGGGUCUCAGGAAUGCAUUUGUUUUACUCUUGCUAAUUUUCGGACCCAUUAUUUGGUGUUAAGACCAUUACAAGCUUAAUAUUUUUGCCAUUUUGGGCUUGACCCGUUUUUUUUAAUAUUUUUUUUUUGCCCUGGAGUGUAUGUCUCUGUAUAUCCAUAUAAUUUUAUACCGUUUUCCUGAAAUUGUGGCAUUACUUGUAGAUAGAUAUAGUAUAUAGUAAGUAGAUAUGUGAUGUACAUCUGCAAAAGCAAGUGCCAGUGCAAAUGCCAGUAGUGUUUAAAGAGAGCAUGUGAAAAAGUUUUCUUCACACCUUCCUUAGAAACUGAAUACAUAGACAUAUACACACUGUUAUAUUUCCUGUUUAUAUUAUAUUUUUUCCACGGGUCUCAUUCAACAGCUUGACUUGACACACAAUUAUGACUAUUUAUAGCAAGUUUCAGUUUUAUCCUUCCAAGAGUCAGUUUGAAAUCUGAACUUGCCAAUGAUGUUAAAAAAACAAUUAACACACAAAAACCUUUGUCACACUAUGAUAACAGAAUACAAUAUUGCACCUUAAGUGCAUCAUCCAUAUAAGUGCUUCCUAAGUAUGAAUAGUACAAACAAAUUCAGAACUAUUUAAUUAUUGUAGACUUUUCUCCCCCAACGUGGAUGCAGUGUUUAUUAUCAAAGCAAUGUCCAUUUACACACACACACACACACUAGUAGACUUAUGUUUAUGUUUGUUUAUGUUUAUGUGGUUAAAGCACUUGGUUAAUGUUACUGUAUUAUGGGCUCUUAAGCUAUUUAAUGGAUGUGAGUGAAGGCUGGCAGUAGAAUAUAGCCAGCGGUUAGGGUUAGUGUGACAUGAUAAACCAUUUUAUAGGGUGUAAAAUAGCUCAGAUCCUUGCAGCAUUCAAGUCAUAGAGAUGCUAGUAUAAACCAAGUGAUGUUAAAAGGACAACACUAAUGCGUUUUAAAGGCCCUAACAACAUCAAUUUGAGAUGGGAUGCUAUCCCCACAGAUAAAAAAUGACACAAGGCUGUCUGUGAAAACCUAUCAGAUGUCAGUGUGUCAGAAUUCUGACAAACAGCCAAAAGAUAUGAAAAAUCAGGUUUUGGCCACAGUUGUAUUUUUCUGCCUAUAACAUAUAUUGGCAUCUAAAAUUUGAUUAUUUUGAUUAUUACAAAAUGGAAAGAAUAUGGAGCAACUGCAAUUCUGUCUAGAGGAGGCCAUCCACCAACAGCCAAUGACUGAAUAAGGAGAGCAUUAUUCAGAGAAGCAACCAAGUGAGCUCCCCAUCUCAGAUAGGAGAAACUGUUCACAAGACAAACAUAGUCUGAACACUCCACAAAGUAAGUAUAUAAGAGUGUCAAGCCAUUUGAAAUCCAAUUACAUAUUGGAAGUUCAGCAAAUAUGUAGAAAAAGGUUCUUUGGUCUAACAAGAUGAAAACUGAAGAUUUUAGCCUUGGAACACCAACACUGUUCAUCACCCUGAGAACAUCAUCCCCACAGUGAAGCAUACUGGUGGUAGCAUGUUCAGGGUCCCACUGCCUCUUGGCUGCUUCUCUGUCUAAUGCUCUCCUUACUUGGUCACUAAACUUUGGUGGACAGUGUCCUCUAAGCAAAGUCAUGGUUGUGGCAUAUUCUUUAGAUUUUUAAUACAGAACUGUUUAUAUCUGUUAUUACACCUGCAGUUAAGAGAAAAAUGAUUUAUGAAGUGUGAAGGUUUUCAUGACAAAAUAAGACAUACUGUGUGAGGCAUUUGCAUUUGUUGUACUAAAACCAGUGACUCAGAGGAAUAUGUGUGUGCGUAUGCUUGUUUCUGGAGCUGAGGCAAGUUUUUUGAUGUGUGUUUCUUUUUAAAGCAGGGUGAGACCAGUGCCAGAUUAGUGUAUUCCAAGUUUUUAGUGAAGAUCAGCCAAGCAUUUCAUUACACUGAGCUCUUCAAGGACGUACAUGUUCACCAAACUGAUUCAGCUCGGUAAUAAAUGAAGUAAUUAGAAAAUGUUGGGCAGUGUAUGUGAGUUUUAAUUGUGUUUAGACAGUUAAAUACAGUAUACUGAAUGCAAGCAAUCAAAACCAAAAAGAAUUGUGAUUCUUUGACAUACAUUUUAGGAGCUUUGGUGGACUAGGUGCCCCCCAGUUGAUCAAUAGUGGCACUUAUAUUUCUGCUGAACGGGAUGAAUAUACUGCACUAUACUGCGAUUUUUACAGUGGAUCUGACAAAGAGUGCAUGAGUUUAUGAUGAUAUUAUUUUCAUGCUGUGCCACACCAAAUUGACCAAAGUUAAUCAAAAUGUGCCUGGGUUUCAAGUUUGGUAAGGAUUAGUCAAAAGGUUGAGGAUCUUCUUUACUAAAGGAUCUUCUUUACUAGUACUAAAGUUUUUUGGCAUUUGAUAGUUAUAGUACUACAAUAUGUACACUAUAUAGCCAAAGGUAUGUGGACCUCUGACCGUCCCACCAAUAUCUGGGCCUUUCCCAAACUGUUGCCACAAGCACACAGUUGUCUACUGUAGUAAUAAGAUUUUCCUUCAUUGGAACUAAGGGGCACAAAUCUGUUUCAUCAUGACAGUGCCCCUGUGCACAAAGCAAGCUUCAUGAACACAUGGAACACAAGGCUGAUGUUGAGGAAAUCGGAUGGCCUGAGCCCUGACUUCAGCUGAACACUUGGAAUUGGAAUCCUGACUGUACCCCAGGCCUCCUCACCUGACAUCAGAGCCUGACCUCACUAAAGCUCUUGUGGCUGAAUGAGCACAAAUCCCCAUAGACACACUCCAAAAUCUAGUGGAAAGCCUUCUCAGAAGAGUGGAGGCUGUUGUAGCAGCAAAGGGGGAACCAACUCCAUGCUAAUGUCUAUAGUUUUGGAAUGGGCACAUAUGAGUAUCACGGUCAGGUGUUCACAUACUUUUGGCCAUAUAGUGUAUAUGUAUCAAGAUCCAUUAACUGACUUUAAUAAUAACCACUAGAACUCUAGUCCUUCCUGUUACUAAUUUGAAAAAACAAAAAAACAAAACUAUUUCAGACAUUUGACCUUGCUGUGACUUUUUGACCCUGUUCAAUUCCAAAAUCUAACCAAAAUCUGCUGGUUACAAUGAUAAUUCUAUAUAUAUCCUAUAAACAUUAAACUAGCUGUUGUUGAGAUAUGGCGCUAAUGAGAAUCUCGGAUGAUAAUGCCUCCACCACCUAGUGACGGAGGCAUAAAAAAGACAUAUGUGAUAAUGAGAAUUAUUCAGUGAAAAUAUCAGAAGUUAAUAUGAGUUUACUGUCUUAAGAGCUUGUCGUAAUAUUACAGUAUGCUUUGUUGCACUAAUUAGACUAUCACUGGAGCCACUUAUGUUAAUGUAGAACUGUAAUGCACUGGUGAGAGAAGAUACUUUCACUGCACUCUUCUAAUAUAUGAUGCUGUCUUUUGUUAUUCAUUAACAGUCAUCACAGCCUGUGCCUCUGAGAGUGAAUUUGGCAGUUUCUGGCAAUGCUCUUAACUAAAUGUCUCUGACAAAACCAUUUGUACUGACAUCAUCACUUCUUCUCUUAAAAGAAACCAUUACCCAAAAGAUGACACCUUUGCUACAGUUCAUUUUAGGCAUAAAUUUCGAAUUGUGUGAACAACGUUACUUCCUGGCCCGGAUUAAUUUUAGUCUCUAGUCUACACAUGGCCCUUUAGCUCUUUGCAAAAUUUUGCCUCGGCUUUCAGUUCAGUAAAGCAUUGAGUGGUAUUGGAAGCACAUUCAUCCUCACGGCCAUUGCAAUAAUAGUUCAGAGAACCCAUUACGUUGCCAUUUUGGUCUUUCUGUAAUAGACACACUUUUGCUCUGCCAAUCUUAUGCUUUCAGUGGUUGUCUUCAUUGACUGCUACUGCUGAGUGGAAGGGAAAGCUGAGCCUAAAGACUGUAAAAAUGCCGAUAGAUGGAGAAGGAAUUGGAUGACCAGAUGCUGACCUUUGUGCUGCAAAUUGAUUCAGAAAGAAUGAAUCAUUACUGGGAUGGGAGAUACCACUUUCAUUUUGAUCCAAUACCAAGUAAUGUAACCAAAUAUGAAUCCAUUAUUCAAAAUGAACAGGUCACAUGUUCUAAACAGAUACACAGAUACAAAUAGGAGGUGCACUAUUCUUUUUAGGGUUUUUUGUUUCUUGCUUGCUUGUGAAGCUUGCUAGAAAGGUUCACAGAGAAUCUGGUUGAGACUAGAAGUGUACAUGGGAUCUUGAAGGACUCAACAAAAAUGUCACAUGAAUGGGAGAUUUUUACUUUCUUGAAGCUUUCCAUGAAGCUUGCAGGACAAAGAAAGGCCAUGCUCAUUAAUCUGAACAUGUGCCAAUGUGCAAUGCAUUUACAACAUUCCCUCAUUCAUAACAUCCUGGUCAGGGUCAUGGUCAAGAAACUGUCAGAGCCAAAAUUCACAUACCAUGCUGAUAGUAGUAGUAUUUCUACCACUGUUUCUUUUUCCAACAUUUUCCAGAAUAAAGGCCCACUUUGGGUUUAAAUUUGAAUACAGAUACAGAUAUUUGGAGCAAUGAACAGAUACAGGUGCAGAUACAGACUUUGGCAUUGCAUUACAUCCCUAACUGGCUGGUACUAGAACUUGUGAAUAAGAAAGCAGAAAUUUGUGAUUUGUACAGUGAGAAUUUUGAAAAAAAGAAAAAAAAAAUAGUAUAUGUAAAAGACAAAACUGGAGACUCUUUUCAAACUUUUGGGUCAUGAUUAAUUACACAAUUAAAUAGUGUACCUGUGUGUGUGUGUGUGUGUGUGUGUGUGUGUGUGAGAAACAGACCGGAAAAAAUGUGAUCUCAGUGACUUUGACUGUGGUUGUUGGUGCCAGACCAGCUGGAUUGAGUAUUCCAGAAACUGCUGAUCUCCUGGGAUUUUCACACAACAGUCUUUAGAGUUUACAUAGAAUAGUUCAGAUACCAAAAAACAUCCAGUGAGCAACAGCUCUGCAGGCAGAAAUGCCUUGCUCAUAAGAGAGGUCAGAGGAGAAUGGCCAGUCUGGUUCAAACUGACAGGAAGGCUACUGUAACUUUAUGUAAUCACUCUUUACAACCGUGGUGAGCAGAAAAGCAUCUCAGAAAGCACAGCGCAACCUUGAGGUGGAUGGGCUACAAAAGCAGAAGACCACAUCGGGUUCCACUCCUUUGAGCCUCCUACACGAAAAUAUAUAUAUUGUUAGUUUGUCCAAUUACUUUAGUUUUACAUACACACACACACACACACACACACACACACCCACAGGAGUCCCACCAUUUUCACAGGCACAAAAAUAAUUGGACAAACAAUCAUAAAUAUCAGGAUUAUUUUUAAUCCUUUGCAGUCAAUGACUGUGUGAAACCUGGAACUCAUGGACAUCACCAAAUGCUGAGUUUGAGACACUUUAAGAUGUCUUGAGAUGCUUUGCCAGGCCUUUACUGUAGCUGCCUUCAGUUGCUGCUUGUUUGUGGGUCUUUCUGGCUUCAGUUUUGUCUUCAGUAAGUGAAAAGAAUGCUCAAUUGAGUUGAGGUCAGGUGACUGCCUCAGCCAUUUAAGAAUAUUCCAUUUCCAAGCUCUUGGGUUCCUUUCAUUUUGGGUCAUUAUCUGUACAUUAUCUGUACCGUGAAGCGCUGUCCUAUUAGUUUUGCAGAAUUUGAUUCCAUCUGAGCAGAAAGCAUAAUUCUGUACUCUUCAGAAUUCAUCCUGCUACUUCUAUCAGCAGUCACAUUAUCAAUAAACACCAAUGACCCAGUUCCAUUGUAUGCCCAUGCCAUAACACUGCCUCCACCAUUUUUGACAGAUGAUGUGGUAUGCUUUGGAUUAUGAGCCCUUCCUUUCCUUCUCCAUACUCUUCUCUUCCCAUCAUUCUGGUACAAGCUAAUCUUGCAUCAGCUAACUGGUCAGGAUUUUUUUAGAGCUUUUUUAGCAGUCUAAUCUGGCCUUUCUGUUCUUGAGUGUUACCAGUGGUUUGCAUAUUGAAGUAAAAUGUCUGUAUUUACAUUCGUGAAGGCGUCUCUUGAUUUUAGACUUUGACAAUGAUACGUCUACCUCCUCCAGAGUGUUCUUGACUUGGCUAGAUGUUGUGAAGGUGUUUUUCUUCAACAAGGAAAGAAUUCUGCGAUCAUCCACUUUGGUUAUCUACCGUGGCCUUCCAGGCCUUUUGGUGUUACUGAGCUCGCCAGUGUCUUCCUUCUUUUUAAGAAUGUACCAAAUUGUUGAUUUGAUCUGCUUUUUUUCAGCCUAAUAAUGGCCUCUUUCACUUGCAUUGACACCUCUCUGGACUGCACAGUGAGAGUUCCCAUGAACAGCUACCAAAUGCAAAUUCAACACUUGGAAUCAACUCCAAACCUUUUAGCUCCUUAAUUUGUCAUGAAAUAAUGGGAAAACAUGCCACAUCUGGCCAUGACCUGCUUAUCAGUCAAUUGUCCAAAAAAAUGGCUGUAAUUCCUAAAUGAUUAAGGCAAUAUUUUUUGUUAAACUCCUUGAAUAAAAGCUGAAAAUCUACACUUCAAUCCCAUCUUUUAUUCACAUUAUAUAAAUUGUGUAACUGUCCAAAUACUUAUGGACCUGACUGUAAUUAAACAAAUAGAUAGAUAGGCAUUUUGUUCAUCAAUUUAAGCAGACAUCUCUUUUGUAAUCUGUCAUUUGUAACCUACUCAUGUUUUAAUAUUUAAUAUCAUGAAAUUUACCAAUGCUUAUGCACAGUUUGAAUUUGGACAACAAAUUAAUGUAUUUACCACUCAUCAUUUUCACUCAUCAUCUAAUUACUGUUUAAUUUGCUAGAUUGCUCACUGUGGGUGCAUCAGAAAAUCACAUAAUAGCAUAUCAAACAGUGCGGUACCAGCUACAAUUUACAUAGCGCAACAGCUUUCUACGAAGAACAAGUACAAUUCCUAACUUCUACUUAGUACGCAGAACUAAAAAAUGCCCAGGGUAUAGUUUUUCCAUUUUCUCAUAUAGCAGAAAAAUGCAACAUGAAACAUGAAAAGCCUUAUAUAGAGUAUAUAGAUCCUUGAGAAGUGAGACAGGAUAGAUACAAGGUCAUUUCAGCAGAUGAUCAUGCAUAAUAUAAUGAGAAGAUCUGUAAUAUAUCUUAUAACACCUAGAGAUCGUAGCAGGUGGGUAUGAAGAGCAAAUCUGAUUUGAUCACCACCCUUUUCGAAACUUGCUAUUGCUCUCUGCCACCUUUUAAGAAAUAGCAGUUAAUACCAGAGGUUUUUUAUGUGCUUCCCAAAGGGUGAGCUACAUUACUCAGCUUCCUACCUAAUUACGACGAAUCCCACUGACAAUCUGUGCUGAUAUGAUGGGCCAGCUGUGUGAGGUAAACAUUUAGUUAUUUGUUUAAUGGAUCCUUACAUACCAGAGGUGCCACCAAGGGCGAGAGAUAUCCUAGAGCUGCUGUUUGCUCUAUCUCUUGACAUUUCAGAUGCUUAAUCAGUGCCAUCCAAUGGAUUGAAUUCCAGCUUGCUGGCUUCUUAAUUUAGCCCUUGCCGCUGACACUUAUUCCUGUGGAUAAGAUAAGCUCUUGAAGCACGAUUCUCUAUCUCUGCUUCUCUUUCGCCUUUCAAGUAAAAGCUGCUUAGGCAGAGUGAACUGCACUGCACAGAAGGCAAACUGACAAUGUGUGUAGAUAUUACACUAGUAAGAAUUUCCUACCUACAGAAAUUCUUACUAGUGCUACUGACAGACAAGCUGAGAGACUGACUGACAGACGGAUGAAUGGACUGAUGGCAAACAUUUUUGAGAGCCAUAGAAAAUGGACCUUGAGUUCCUGAUAAUGAAUGUGAGGCCAUGGGGCUCUGACUGGCGUCUCCCUGUCCUGUCCUCACGCUUCUUGCUUCCUCUCAGGCUGCUGAAUCUCUUCAUGGCUGUCCGAGGAAUGCCAAGUGCCUGGGCAGUGCAGAGGAAACUACAUGCCACUCGGGUGGGUCAAGUCUCAAAAAAUUUACAAGCAUGCACUUCCCAGGGGAGCUAUGUUUGUGUGUGAGGUCUAUAAGAGGUUUUCUACAUUUCAGCAGGGGACGCUGAGUGAUGAACUGCUGCAGGAAGACUGGAACUGCUUAAAAAUCACCAUGAAAGGAAAAAUACAGGGCAGUGUAUUACACCAUUACACCAACAGUUUUUUAAAAAAGCCUAUAUUUUUAAUACUUUUUACUUAAUGUAACCAGCUGAAAUGACAUUUUAAGUGAUUAAAAUGAUGCUUUUAAAAAGAAAAUGUCUCAUCACCCAACACUAUGAAUGUACAUGAUCUUUUCGGAAUUAUUUGCAAUGCUGUAUUUCACUGUGAUCUCAGCACUAUUGUAUUGUACUGGAUGGGUGGCAUCAACUAGAAUUACAGAAAACAAGUUUAGAGUUAAUCAACUGAUUUGAUCUAGCUGUGUGCACAAAUUAAUUUAAAAAAUUAAUUUAAAUAAUCCGAAUCCCUAAUUAAAAUCUUAACUUCUAAUAAAAAGCUUCAGAUUGUCCUUAAUGAUGGAUUUGUCAAGAAAACAGCAAUGUUACAUUUGAGACAAAUUAUUAUACUUUCCCACCCUUUUUAGUGCUAAAGAGGAUGAAAAAUUUCCUUUGAGGGACAUUUUCCACAGUCCAUCUAAAAUAGCUCUGUGAUGCCAUUGCAGAAAUCUGUCAGCUGAACAGAGAUUUCAUUUUCAGCCAGGAAUUCAAGUUUAAAGUAACGGAGCAACAGGAUUAAAAUCAUUUAUUUUUUAAUAAUUUAGUGUAAAACUAAAACCAGGAUGAAAUGAUGUCUUGAAAGUAAUUUUUAUUAUUUUUAAACAAGGUUUAAAGCAACUGAAUUAAUACUUUAAUAAAUUAAUAAAAACGUUCCUGCAAAAAUCAUCCACCUCAUCUUAAAAUCUCUUUUAUAUUCAUGUCUAAAUAUUGUUCCUGUUUGUUUGAUUUGUCUUUUCUUUAGUCAUUUUUGUAAAAAAUAAAAAAUAAAAAGUUGCUUUAAGACCUUCUUCAGUCUCUUUGGUGUCCCAUGCCUCUGGUGGUUUUAUGUAGUUAUACUUUAUUUCCCUCUAGUGGCCUAUGUAUGAUGAUGAUGAUGAUGAUGAUUAUAACAAUAACAAUAAUAAUAAUAAUAAUAAUAAUAAAUGCAGAAGCUCUGCAUUUAAAAUCUACAAUUCAGUGAAUAAAAAGUUGUCAGAGGUCAAAUCACUUUCAUAACGCAUUUGUUUCAGUUAUGGCUUCAGAGAACAUGUGGCUCAUUGUUCCACCAAUGAAAGCCAUGUUUUGGAUCAAACAGGAAGCUUCUCAGACAGAUUCUGACCACUUGGUGGCUCUGUGGGCUUGAAAAACCUAAGAAUAAGUACAAUACAAGUAAUUUCUUAAUUUGUGCUUCCUCAUUUUCUUUUCGCUUCCCUUCCUUGUUUUCUUGUUCCUUUAACAAAGGAAUAAGAAAGUGAGGAAAGGAACAAGAAAGCAGGGAAGGGAAGCAAAAAGGAAACAAGGAGGCAUAGAUUAAGAAUGCACUUGUAUGCUUAUUCUUUGGUUUUCCAAGCUCACAGAGGAUGUGAGGAGAGGACAGGAAGUAUUUUGGACGAAUGUAUUGAUUAAUGAGACGUCGUCUGCUCACUGAAGCGUCACUUUAAAGUGACUUCCCUUAUUUAUGACAUGUUGCACCAGGCAUAACGAAUAUGCAUAUACUCUACACAAGUGUGAUUACACAGUGAAUGAACAUCAAUUGAAACAUUACUGCACUUACAUAUCACAUUUGAAUGUUGUUUUAUUCAAUAUGACUUCUCACACAUACUUUUAUUUAUCCUUGAGCUAGUAUCUCCUCUAGGAUCUCCUCUCUUAAAUUCAUUCAGAGGAAUCCAGAAUGGAUUGUUAUAUCCUUCAGAUGCUGAGCUACAGUCAGUUUCCGGGUCACAGGCCAAAGGAUGUAGGAUCAAGAUCUCAAUUAAAGGAGGCCUCUUUAACCGUAAAAUAAAUUCCACAAAACCCCUCAGUACAGUUUUAUGAACAUAAUCCAACUAUACAAACAUUAGGCUCAUCAUGUAAGUGUGUACAUUAUUAUUAGCCAUUAGCCAUAGAGCUUUAUUAGCCAUAGAGCUUUUUAUUACUGAAUGUUCCACCAACAGAACACAUUUGCUCCAAGUUAACAUUAUUUAUAGGGUUAGGUUUAGGGUUAGGCCAACUUGUUUUUGAGUUACUGAGGUUUGGAUUAAAUCCAUUCAAUUCAAGUGAGCAGUCAAACAGUCUAAUAGUUCUAAGAAUAUUAAAUAUAAUAACUUUGAUACUGAUGGGUUGUUAUUUCCACCACUAAAAAAAAACAUCAACAACACAGAUUUCCUGGAUAUGCUUAAGAUACAGCGGGGUCCAAAAGUCUGCGACCACACUGAAAUUUUCCUCAUGCCUAAUCUCUUCUAUUGAAGCAUGUCUUCAGACGACACUCCGAUGGAUUUGAUAAAAAAAAAAGCACAAGGUCACAAGGUUUUGCACAAACUUGUGGAGUCCAUGACAGCUCGAGUGCACACUGUCAUUAAAGCAAAGGGGACACAUACCAAAUACUAAAAAACUUUGAAAUUCAUGUAUAUAUUUCAAAGAUUCUACUUUUCACUCAAGUUGCUGUCAGUAAUAUAAUUUGUAAUGAAAAUUGCUAUACUAAAUUAGAAAAGAAUGCAAAAUACAAGCAUUUUCACUGGUGCUCUCAGACCCCACUGUAGCUGACUCUGAGAACCAUUGCAUUAGAAUACUAGAAUAGAGAGAUGCAGCCAUACACGCUCUUGCUUUCUCUGCACCUCCUUGUGCCUCUGAAGUGAGAAUCAGAAGAUGACUUGGCAUCAGUGCUUUCACGAAGCCUGAGCACCAAUUACUCAGGACCACAUGGCUGAAUCCAUCCAGCAGUGCAUAAGAAAGAGCACAAAGGCUUCUUUGCUCUCUUGCACCUCCUUGC